rnacentral:misc_RNA from 1 species
GAUCAGUUCAUUGAGGAAGCUGAGAGAAGCUUGCAUGAUGCUAUUAUGAUUGUUAGAAGAGCUGUGAAAAACUCUACGGUUGUUCCUGGAGGUGGUGCAAUAGAUAUGGAAAUAAGCCGUUUCUUGAGGCACCAUGCUCGAACAAUUCAAGGGAAAUCUCAGCUCUUCAUAAACUCUUAUGCAAAAGCUCUUGAGAUUAUCCCCCGUCAGCUAUGUGACAAUGCUGGUUUUGAUGCAACUGAUGUGCU